UACGUAGGGGCAAGCGUUGUCCGGAUUCAUUGGGCGUAAAGAGCACGCAGGCGGUUUGGCAAGUCGGAUGUGAAAACCAGAAGCUCAACUUCUGGCCUGCAUCCGAUACUGCCCGACUAGAGGUAGGUAGGGGAGAUCGGAAUUCCUGGUGUAGCGGUAAAUGCGCAGAUAUCAGGAGGAACACCGGUGGCGAAGGCGGGAUCUCUGG
rnacentral:rRNA from 1 species